rnacentral:rRNA from 1 species
GUGUCAGCCGCCGCGGUAAUACGAAGGGGGCUAGCGUUGCUCGGAAUUACUGGGCGUAAAGGGAGCGUAGGCGGGUCGUCAAGUUGGGGGUGAAAGCCCAGGGCUCAACCCUGGAACUGCCUUCAAAACUGGCGACCUAGAGUAUGGUAGAGGUGUGUGGAACUCCGAGUGUAGAGGUGAAAUUCGUAGAUAUUCGGAAGAACACCAGUGGCGAAGGCGACACACUGGGCCAUUACUGACGCUGAGGCUCGAAAGCGUGGGGAGCAAACAGGAUUAGAAACCCCCGUAGUCC